rnacentral:rRNA from 1 species
UACGUAGGGAGCAAGCGUUGUCCGGAAUCAUUGGGCGUAAAGAGCGUGUAGGCGGCUAGGUAGGUCCGUUGUGAAAACUCGAGGCUCAACCUCGAGACGCCGAUGGAAACCAUCUAGCUAGAGUCCGGAAGAGGAGAGUGGAAUUCCUGGUGUAGCGGUGAAAUGCGCAGAUAUCAGGAAGAACACCCGUGGCUAAGGCGGCUCUCUAGUACGGUACUGACGCUGAGACGCGAAAGCGUGGGGAGCGAACAGG